AUGAUUUCUUCGUGUACCUCGUGGAUGAUACUCCCACUUCUAUUUCAGAAGCGUAUGCCUCUCCAGAAGCGGACUACUGGAAGGAUGCGGUCCGUAGCGAGAUGGAUUCCAUCAUGGCUAACGGGACAUGGGAGAUCACUGACCGUCCCUAUGGUUGCAAACCACUGGGAUGUAAGUGGGUGUUCAAAAAGAAGCCUAGGCCCGAUGGUGCGAUUGAAAAGUACAAGGCUAGGCUUGUGGCCAAGGGCUAUGACCAGCAAGAAGAGGAAUAUUUCUUUGAUACUUAUUCACCUGUGGCUAGACUGA
rnacentral:rRNA from 1 species